rnacentral:rRNA from 1 species
UUGAUUCUUAACUGACUGAGCGGCGGACGGGUGAGUAACGCGUGGGUGACCUGCCCCAUACCGGGGGAUAACAGCUGGAAACGGCUGCUAAUACCGCAUGACACAUAGGUGUCGCAUGGCACUUAUGUCAAAGAUUUAUCGCUGAAAGAUGGCCUCGCGUCUGAUUAGCUAGUUGGUGAGGUAACGGCCCACCAAGGCGACGAUCAGUAGCCGGACUGAGAGGUUGAACGGCCACAUUGGGACUGAGAUACGGCCCAGACUCC